CCCCACCUCCACCAUUGCUCAACCACCCGCCUGCUUUCUGCUCAGCUUUCCCCAGAGGCCUGCUGGGGGCUUGCUGCGCAGCCGCAAACAAAAAGGCCUCUUUGUAGAUCCUCCCCUAGGACGCUCCGGAGGAAACAGCUCCCCUCGAAGCGGUAUUCAGCAUUCACGGCUGUCACCCAGGAGUCCCUGCUGGGUGCUGGGCCCAGUGCCGGGAGCUACAAAGAUUCUUGAUUAAUUCACCAUUUCCCAGCCAUUGGAAUAAGAAGUGCCUCUGUAGCAUUUGCUGGUGCUCACUCAGACAUCUGCCUUUAUUUUUGUGGACAAAGAAAAAUUUACAGCUGCAAGAUGUGCUCCUGGAGCUGGUGACAUCUGUGCCAUCAUCAGAGCAGACGCCUGCCUGGCAAGGAACCCAGAGGAAAGUGGAACCCAGGCUUAGAGAUGAGCCUUCCUGACAUUGUUUGAGCAUCUGGGAUCCAGCUACGUUCAGAUGGCUGGGCUUUUCCAUGUACUGAGCCAAUGAAUUUCCUUUCUCUCUUUUUAAAGCCACAUUGAGUUGGAUUUCCAUUUCUGUCACUUGCAACCCUAGCAGUUUUGUUGGAACAGUGGCCCUCACUGCUGUUUGAUUAUGGUGUGUCCUUCUUGGCCCUCCCAUCAUCCUGCGUGUGAAACCACACACUGCCAAGUAUUGCUCAAUAUUCCUGAUUGUGUUGGGUGGGCAUCCUUGCUCUGCCCUCUCUAGCUGACAGCAAGUUAGAACCAAGGCAAAUUCCUUAAUUGCUCAGAGCUGUAGUUUCCUUGAUUGUAAAAUUGCGGGUUUGGGUGGGGGUGGGGAAGACACCCUCUAUCAAGGGGCUGUUGGGAGAAUGAAACGAAGUAAUGUAUGCGUGGCAUUAACACAGUUUCAUAUUAAACAUUUGCAUUUGAGUCAUUUUUAUCACUGUUACUAUAAAUAAAAGGCAGGUUAUCACAGGCAGCAAUCCUACCUUUCUUCUCUUUGUAUCUUCCACAAUGCCUGGCUUAUAGCUGGAGGU
rnacentral:lncRNA from 10 species